rnacentral:tRNA from 1 species
UGGCUCAGCGGUAGAGCACUUGCCUUGCACGCAUGAGGCCCUGGGUUCGAUUCCUCAG